AACGCUAGCUACAGGCUUAACACAUGCAAGUCGAGGGGCAUCAGGAAGAAAGCUUGCUUUCUUUGCUGGCGACCGGCGCACGGGUGAGUAACACGUAUCCAACCUGCCCUUUACUCGGGGAUAGCCUUUCGAAAGAAAGAUUAAUACCCGAUGGCAUAAUGAUUCCGCAUGGUUUCAUUAUUAAAGGAUUCCGGUAAAGGAUGGGGAUGCGUUCCAUUAGGUUGUUGGUGAGGUAACGGCUCACCAAGCCUUCGAUGGAUAGGGGUUCUGAGAGGAAGGUCCCCCACAUUGGAACUGAGACACGGUCCAAACUCCUACGGGAGGCAGCAGUGAGGAAUAUUGGUCAAUGGGCGCUAGCCUGAACCAGCCAAGUAGCGUGAAGGAUGAAGGCUCUAUGGGUCGUAAACUUCUUUUAUAUAAGAAUAAAGUGCAGUAUGUAUACUGUUUUGUAUGUAUUAUAUGAAUAAGGAUCGGCUAACUCCGUGCCAGCAGCCGCGGUAAUACGGAGGAUCCGAGCGUUAUCCGGAUUUAUUGGGUUUAAAGGGAGCGUAGGUGGACUGGUAAGUCAGUUGUGAAAGUUUGCGGCUCAACCGUAAAAUUGCAGUUGAUACUGUCAGUCUUGAGUACAGUAGAGGUGGGCGGAAUUCGUGGUGUAGCGGUGAAAUGCUUAGAUAUCACGAAGAACUCCGAUUGCGAAGGCAGCUCACUGGACUGCAACUGACACUGAUGCUCGAAAGUGUGGGUAUCAAACAGGAUUAGAUACCCUGGUAGUCCACACAGUAAACGAUGAAUACUCGCUGUUUGCGAUAUACAGUAAGCGGCCAAGCGAAAGCAUUAAGUAUUCCACCUGGGGAGUACGCCGGCAACGGUGAAACUCAAAGGAAUUGACGGGGGCCCGCACAAGCGGAGGAACAUGUGGUUUAAUUCGAUGAUACGCGAGGAACCUUACCCGGGCUUAAAUUGCAGUGGAAUGAUGUGGAAACAUGUCAGUGAGCAAUCACCGCUGUGAAGGUGCUGCAUGGUUGUCGUCAGCUCGUGCCGUGAGGUGUCGGCUUAAGUGCCAUAACGAGCGCAACCCUUAUCUUUAGUUACUAACAGGUUAUGCUGAGGACUCUAGAGAGACUGCCGUCGUAAGAUGUGAGGAAGGUGGGGAUGACGUCAAAUCAGCACGGCCCUUACGUCCGGGGCUACACACGUGUUACAAUGGGGGGUACAGAAGGCAGCUAGCGGGUGACCGUAUGCUAAUCCCAAAAGCCUCUCUUAGUUCGGAUCGAAGUCUGCAACCCGACUUCGUGAAGCUGGAUUCGCUAGUAAUCGCGCAUCAGCCACGGCGCGGUGAAUACGUUCCCGGGCCUUGUACACACCGCCCGUCAAGCCAUGGGAGCCGGGGGUACCUGAAGUACGUAACCGCAAGGAUCGUCCUAGGGUAAAACUGGAGACUG
rnacentral:rRNA from 1 species